rnacentral:rRNA from 1 species
GUGAGUCAUCGAAUCUUUGAACGCACUUGGCACCCACUAGGCCUUCUAGUGGGUAUACCUGUUUGAGCAUCAUAAACACCUAUCCCUCUGGAUGACUUGAGUGUCAGUUACUUAUUGUCACUUUAAAUUGAGCAGUGAGGGCGCUUGUGGUGCGCCUUGGAACCUUGUGUGGUAGCAGGACUGUGGUCUUGACAGCGCAAGGACCCAAGGUGCCUAUAUGUGCUCAACCUCACUCACACAACACAUAACUCCAUAUGAUCUCAAAUCAGGCAAGACUACCCGCUGAACUUAAGCAUAUCAAUAAGCGGAGG